AGAUACCAUGUAGGGGAAAAAAAAGACACUAUCUGAUACCGAUAGAAUAGGAACUAAAGUUGUAUUAUUUAAAUUUACAAAAUAAUAACAUAAUGAUCAAUAGUUAGAAGAAUGAGAAAAAGAAAAGAAUCUAAAUGGCCUAAAUUCUGAAGCUUUAAGAUAAUGCCUGCCUGGCUCUGCCGGUAGAGGGUGCGACUCUUGAUCUCAGGGUUGUGAGUUCAAGUCCCACCGUGGGUGUAGAGAUUACUUAAAAAUACAAUCUUAAAAAAAAAAAAAUGCCCAACGCUUUUGAGUUUAGAGACAGAAGACAGACAAAUACCACACGGUGUCACUUAUGUGUGAAAUCCAAAAACAGACAAACUCAUAGAAACCGCAGGUAGAAAAGUGGUUGCCGGGGAUGAGGGGAGGGAGACAUUGGGAGAGGUUGGUAAAAGGGUACAACUUUCAGCUAGAAGAUGAAUGAGGUCUGAGGACCUAACAUACAAUAUGGUGACUACAGUUGAUAAUACCGUAUUGCAUAAAAUUAGUGGAGAGUAUGGAACUGAAGUUCUAUUCACCAAAACAACAACAACAACAACAACAACAACGACAACAACGAGAUAACUAUGUGGGGGUAAUGGAUGUGUUAUUAUUUUUUGAAUGUUUAUUUAUUUAUUUUUAUUUAAUUUUUUUAAUGUUUUAUUUAUUUUUGAGAGAGAGAGAGAAUCCAAAGACAGGCUCCAGGCUCUGAGCUAGUUGUCAGCACAGAGCCCGACACGGGGCUCGAACCCACGAACAGCGAGAUCAUGCGCUGAGCCUCCCAAGUCGGACACUCAACCGGCUGAGUCACCCAGAAUGGUGGCCUCAUAGUUCAAAGUCAUCUGCAGUGGCUAUACAUUCAUCUGGAUAACAAGCCCUCAGGCAAAACUCGGGCUUCAUCCAGCCCACAAAGCUCAGACUCUCUUCUCCGUGUUGAAUUGAUGCACAGACUUCACAGGUAUCUGGCCCUCUUCCCUGCUAAAGGAGACCCACAGUUCUUCCUCCUCCGGUAGUGUAACCCUGUUCUGCUGUUUCCAUGUCUCUUACAUUAGAAAGAUUCCCUAGGUUGGCUCCUCUCGCUCUCCCUCUCUGCAAUUUGAAUGAAACAAAGCCCAGCUCAUCCUCUGCUAAUU